rnacentral:rRNA from 1 species
UUAGAGUUUGAUCCUGGCUCAGGAUGAACGCUAGCGGCAGGCUUAACACAUGCAAGUCGAGGGGCAGCGAGAUCAGUGCUUGCACUGAUUGUCGGCGACCGGCGCACGGGUGCGUAACGCGUAUGCAACCUACCCAUUACAGGGGGAUAACACUGAGAAAUCGGUACUAAUACCCCAUAACAUCCAGGGAGGCAUCUUCUUGGGUUGAAAACUCCGGUGGUAAUGGAUGGGCAUGCGUUGUAUUAGUUAGUUGGUGGGGUAACGGCUCACCAAGACAACGAUACAUAGGGGGACUGAGAGGUUAACCCCCCACAUUGGUACUGAGACACGGACCAAACUCCUACGGGAGGCAGCAGUGAGGAAUAUUGGUCAAUGGACGCAAGUCUGAACCAGCCAUGCCGCGUGCAGGAAGACGGCUCUAUGAGUUGUAAACUGCUUUUGUACGAGGGUAAACGCAGAUACGCGUAUCUGUCUGAAAGUAUCGUACGAAUAAGGAUCGGCUAACUCCGUGCCAGCAGCCGCGGUAAUACGGAGGAUUCAAGCGUUAUCCGGAUUUAUUGGGUUUAAAGGGUGCGUAGGCGGUCGGAUAAGUUAGAGGUGAAAUCCCGGGGCUCAACUUCGGAAUUGCCUCUGAUACUGUUCGGCUAGAGAGUAGCUGCGGUAGGCGGAAUGUAUGGUGUAGCGGUGAAAUGCUUAGAGAUCAUACAGAACACCGAUUGCGAAGGCAGCUUACCAAGCUACUUCUGACGUUGAGGCACGAAAGCGUGGGGAGCAAACAGGAUUAGAUACCCUGGUAGUCCACGCAGUA